ensembl:lncRNA LINC01301 long intergenic non-protein coding RNA 1301
AGGCUUACGCGCUAACAGUGAAUUAGAAGGAGAAAACGCUCUGCGAGUGCAGCGGAAGGGAGGACCCUGUGGCUGGAGAAAUCCCGCCGCGAACACCCAGCGACCAGGUCUACAGCAGCACCAGGUCUGUGCUUCCCCCUGGUGGUCACAGAUUUUACUACACGCGGCCCACAAGUAAAAUGAGUUUCUCUUCAGUGGCCCGGUUAUCUUCUGUCGUGUAGGAGGAAGUCCAGAGCCACGGAAAUUCGGUAAGGAUCGGAUAAGGGCAAUAAAAUCGCAGCUCUAAAUCUUUUCAUGGAGUUGAAGACAGACGUUUGACUGUGGGAGCCAUCUCAUCUUUAUAACCUGGUAAACAAUGCCAGAAUAAAAACAACAAAUUCAAUGUAUUUAAGUCGGUUUCGACAGUGAGGAAUUAAAAUUAAAUUUAUUUAAACUAUUUUGACUUUUACCCAAGUUUUUCUUACAGUUCCAUCUCAUUUUUCCCUCCUUACAUAGUUUGGGG